CACACAUAGACCAAAAGUAGAUGUUGCAACAUUACAAAGAACAAGUAUGCUUUCAAAGAGAUAGAAGAAGAUACUUUCAUUCCUUUUAGAGGUGUGAAGUUCAUGUGCUAUUUUUGAUGCAUCCAUCAAUUUUGCUAAUUUUUUUCUUUUUUGUCACAAAAAUGUUAUUUAUCAUAUGGGAAGGUUCCCUGGGAAGGGGAGGUAGAAGAGAGGGAAUACCCUAUUACCCUUUCCCACUGUGAUUCAAUAACUUCUUCAUGCAAUUUCUUCACUUCUAAAAUUUUGGUAUUGAAUUAGAUGAACUCUGAGGUCUCUUUCUGCUCUAGGUCUAUUAUCCCUAGUAUUCUGGGAGGCAGUUAGGUGAUGUAGUGGGCCUGAGUAAGGUCUUCCUGAGUUCAAAUCUAGCCUCAGACACUAGCUUUGUGAGCCUGGGCAAGUCACUUUACUCUCUUUGCCUCAGUUUCUGCGUCUGGAAUACGGGCUGGAGAAGGAACCGGCAAACCACUCCAGUAUUUUUGCCAAGAAAAUCUCAUGUGGGGUCAUGAAGAAUUGUACAAGAUUGAACAACCAUUCAUGGAUUUUCCAAGCCCUUUGAACUUUCCGUGGUUCCCGCCAGGGGGCACAGCACAGUAAAUUCUCAAUUGUUGCUCUCAGAAAUGCCUACAAGGUGGCGCCAGAGGGCUGUGUCUUGCUUCUGCCGCACUGUACUAGAAACCAUGAGAGAAGAAACGUAUUUCCGGAAACCUUAUCGUCACUUCCUCUCAUGAACCCUGAUUUCCUGAAAAGAUGGCGGUUCGACUUCAAGAUGUGCUUCGAGAAAUGUUAUUUCUGUUCCGGGACGGUGUACCCGGGGCACGGCAUGAUGUCUGUCCGCAGCUAGUGUAAGUUGAUGCCAUGAAGAGAGUAGAUGAGAUCAAACAAAAACAUCAAGCUAAUUUAUAAUGAACAGUUAAAGAAGAGCAAAGAACUACAGAAUGUUCAGGCUAUUAGCGAAGUCAAACAAAACAUCUACCUUAUUCAGGCAUCCCUGGCAGGAAAAGGAAAACAAUUGGAAGAAAAAAACAGUGCUCCAAUUACAAUAGGAUAUGGACAUGGAAGAUUAUUCUUCGACUUCUCAGUGUUCUGA
rnacentral:lncRNA from 1 species